rnacentral:rRNA from 1 species
UACGUAGGGUGCGAGCGUUGUCCGGAAUUAUUGGGCGUAAAGGGCUCGUAGGCGGUUUGUCGCGUCGGGAGUGAAAACCUCGGGCUUAACUCGGGGCUUGCUUUCGAUACGGGCAGACUAGAGGUAUGCAGGGGAGAACGGAAUUCCUGGUGUAGCGGUGAAAUGCGCAGAUAUCAGGAGGAACACCGGUGGCGAAGGCGGUUCUCUGGGCCGUAACUGACGCUGAGGAGCGAAAGCAUGGGGAGCGAACAGG